GUGCUAAGCUUAGUGCUCUCUCUCCCACCACCAGUGGCAGAGCCACUGUGUGGGGAGAAACACCUUUUUAUCUUGGAGAGGGGCAGCCUUGUUUCUGAGGACAGAUGGGAGCAAAACGGGACAGGUAGGAAGUUUCGUGGUUUCUCGUGUCGCUUCUCCAAAAUAGCCACACUGCUGCCUCCCACUUCCUGCCUGACUCGGCUGGGGUAGAUUUUCUCCUUUAGAGGAUUUGUGUUCUGUGUAUUCCCAGGGAGGCUCGAAGGGAUCUGUUGCCAAAAACAUGCUUGACACUGAAGCCCUGGAGCUUGGCACUGAGGGCCCCAGCUCAGGUUUGGACCACUGGGUUUGCAUCCGGGCUCUGUCUCAUACUGGCUGCGUGACCUUGGGCAAAUGACUUCACUUCUCUGUGCCUCAUCAGUAGGAUGGAGAUAACAACUCUAGCUAUAUCCAGCAGUUACUCUGCAGAUUAAAUGAAUAUGUGUAAAGGGCACAGCCCAGUGUGGGCACAUAGCAACUCUUAAUGAAUCUCUUAAUAAAAAACAGCAAUGUUGUUGUUGAUCUCCAUCCCCUACCUGGAAAACUGUACCAGCCUCCCAGCCACCUUCCCUUUCCCCUGGCUUGCCUGCUCCAGCACAUCCCAGCAUGAUCCGAGAGUGAUAGAAACGUGAAACACAAAUCUGACCCUGCUAUCUGCUGCUUAAAAUCCACCCAUAGCUUCCAGCGUCUAUGGCAGGAAUGAGCAUUCUUUUGCUCUGAAUGGCCAGAUAGUAUUUGAAGCUUUGCCGGGCAUAUAGUCUCUCUUGACUUUGUCAUUGCAGCCUGGAAGCAACCACAGAUAAUAUGUAAAAAAUGGGCGUGGUUGUGUUCCAGUAAAAUUUUAUGUACGAAAACAGGCAGCCGGCUGGAUUUGCCAACCCUUGACCUACAGGAUGAAUCCAGACCCUUAGCUCAGCAUUCCCAGUUCAGCCUGUUCCCGUUAUCUCCAUCCUUCUUCCUCCCCCACCCCUGCUCUUGUGCAGAACAUGUCACACUUUAAUCCUUUGCGUGUGCUGCUCCCUCUUUCUGAGUUUUCCUUCCCUGCCCCCUGAGUGCCCCUUCCCCAUGGCAUUAGGACCUUUACUCUGGGAUUCUGUGGUACCCUGUCUUUAUUUCUACCCUGGUCAUAUAUGCAAGUUCCAUCUGUCUCUCCAUGAGAGGGGCUCCCCUCUAGGCAGGGAUUCGGCCUUCCUCUUCUGUACACCCAGCAGGGUGCUGCUGUAUAGGUUUCUGCAGGUGCUCAGUAAGCAUUUGUUAUUGAACCCAAGGAUCUGCAAGAUGGAUGGUUGGCCUCAGGGAGCUCACAGUCAGCUUAGAAAGCUAGGAUAUGAGCCAGUCAAAAGCCAGCCAGCAAUCCAGGCAGGAAAUGAUGAUGGUCUGUGUGUUUGGCCCUAACUGAUGUCAAGUGGAGAUUCUGAGCUUGAUAGAGGAAGGGCCUCGGGUGGUCCUCGAGGUGCCGCAGGUGGAAGAAGAACAGGCCAAGGCAAAUGCCUCCGGUACCCAGCACUGCCUGGUGCACAGUAGUGGUUGAUCAGUAAUUGUUGAACCAAUCAGGGUUUCUGUUUGCUUGAAGGAAAGGGUAGGAGUGGAGGGUGAGUGACUGGGUGAAUGGGUGCUAUGAGGACAAAGGAGAGUGGAGUUUAGAGGUAGCACUAGUGUCGCAAGCCUGAAGGUUUACCAGAGACAGAGGGGUGAAAAGAUGAGUGGGGCACUAAGCAUAUUGAAUGUGAGAGCUGCUGGAAAUGCAGGAUUGGGGCGUGCUGGGUGGGGCAGGUGAUGUGUGCAGCUGUGGAAGCUGCUACCAAGUCAAGCAUUUUCAGAUGGACAUGCUUAGGCAGGAAGGAACAAGGCUUGGCUCCUGGCCUGGGGAGAGUUAACCUCCUGGCCCGGCAUUGCAUAACCGCAGAGUCUGCUGAGCGCAAGGAGACUCUUCUGUGUGGCAGCCAGAGUGGCAAGCCUGGUGGCUCCGGGCUCUGGCACCAUCCCGCAGCGGAACAAACAGCCCUCCCUUCCCAGAUAAUGGCCCUCAUUGAGCAUUGUGUCCAUGGCCAGCACCCAGCACAGGGCAGCUCAGCCUGGUCUUUUCCUGUUAGACUCUUUUGGUGAGUUUCAGCCUUUGGUUACAUCUAAAUGUCCACCGGCCCUGCCACUGUUUCUGGGCAGUCUUGGUGCCUGUCCUGUCACUGGCCUUGUGGUCUUGCGCGAAUCCCUUCUCUUCCUUGGGCCCAGCAUCUUCACCUGUCAAACGUGGACUUUAGACCCCACUUAAGUGCCCUCUAGCUCUAAGCUUGCGUGGUGUGAUGGGGAAGCCAGGCUGAGGGUUCUCCAGGUGGAGGAGAUGGGGGGCAGCCCCAGUGCAUCCCAAGGUGAGGGACGGGCCGAUUUCCCAAGUUCAGGACAUAAACCAUGAGUAGAAGAUGAGCUGAUUUUGGGAGAACAUGCUGGAAGUUCUUUAAUUG
rnacentral:lncRNA from 1 species